AUCAACUUUCGAUGGUAGGAUAGAGGCCUACCAUGGUGGUAACGGGUAACGGGGUGUUAGGGCACGACACCGGAGAGGGAGCCUGAGAAACGGCUACCACAUCCAAGGAUGGCAGCAGGCGCGCAAAUUACCCAAUCCCGACACGGGGAGGUAGUGACAAUAAAUAACAAUACGGGGUUCUUUAGGAUCUCGUAAUUGGAAUGAGUACAAUUUAAAUCUCUUAACGAGGAACAAUUGGAGGGCAAGUCUGGUGCCAGCAGCCGCGGUAAUUCCAGCUCCAAUAGCGUAUAUUAAAGUUGUUGCAGUUAAAAAGCUCGUAGUUGAAUUUCGGGGUUAGUAGGUUGGUCAUGCCUCUGGUAUGUACUGGUCUCACUGAUUCCUCCUUCCUGAUGAGCCGUAAUGCCAUUAAUUUGGUGUUGCGGGGAAUUUGGACUGUUACUUUGAAAAAAUUGGAGUGUUUAAAGCAAGCUAACGCUUGAAUACAUUAGCAUGGAAUAAUGAAAUAGGACGUUCGAUCCUAUUUUGUUGGUUUCUAGGAUUGACGUAAUGAUUAAUAGGGAUAGUUGGGGGCAUUAGUAUUCAAUUGUCAGAGGUGAAAUUCUUGGAUUUAUUGAAGACUAACUACUGCGAAAGCAUUUGCCAAGGAUGUUUUCAUUAAUCAAGAACGAAAGUUAGGGGAUCGAAGACGAUCAGAUACCGUCGUAGUCUUAACCAUAAACUAUGCCGACUAGGGAUCGGAUGAUGUUAAUUUUUUAAUGACUCAUUCGGCGCCUUACGGGAAACCAAAGUGUUUGGGUCC
rnacentral:rRNA from 1 species